rnacentral:rRNA from 1 species
GACGUAGGAGGCGAGCGUUGUCCGGAUUCAUUGGGCGUAAAGAGCGCGCAGGCGGCUUGGUAAGUCGGAUGUGAAAACCCGAGGCUCAACCUCGGGCGUGCAUCCGAUACUGCUCGGCUAGAGGUAGGUAGGGGAGAUCGGAAUUCCUGGUGUAGCGGUGAAAUGCGUAGAUAUCGGGAGGAACACCUGUGGCGAAGGCGGCCCCCUGGUUGGAUACUGACGCUGAUACGCGAAAGCGUGGGGAGCAAACAGG